CAAUAGCGUAUAUUAAAGUUGUUGCGGUUAAAAAGCUCGUAGUUGGAUUUCUGCUGAGAACGACCGGUCCGCCCUCUGGGUGUGUAUCUGGCUCUUUCUUGGCAUCUUCUUGGUGAACGUUGCUGCACUUGACUGUGUGGAGCGCUACCCAGGACUUUUACUUUGAGGAAAUUAGAGUGUUUCAAGCAGGCAUACGCCUUGAAUACAUUAGCAUGGAAUAAUAAGAUAGGACCUCGGUUCUAUUUUGUUGGUUUCUAGAGCUGAGGUAAUGAUUAAUAGGGAUAGUUGGGGGCAUUCGUAUUUAACUGUCAGAGGUGAAAUUCUUGGAUUUGUUAAAGACGAACUACUGCGAAAGCAUUUGCCAAGGAUGUUUUCAUUG
rnacentral:rRNA from 1 species